AUGAACGCUGGCGGCGUGCCUCAUCCAUGCAAGUCGAGCGAACAGACGAGGAGCUUGCUCCUCUGACGUUAGCGGCGGACGGGUGAGUAACACGUGGAUAACCUACCUAUAAGACUGGGAUAACUUCGGGAAACCGGAGCUAAUACCGGAUAAUAUAUUGAACCGCAUGGUUCAAUAGUGAAAGACGGUUUUGCUGUCACUUAUAGAUGGAUCCGCGCCGCAUUAGCUAGUUGGUAAGGUAACGGCCUACCAAGGCAACGAUGCGUAGCCGACCUGAGAGGGUGAUCGGCCACACUGGAACUGAGACACGGCCCAGACUCCUACGGGAGGCAGCAGUAGGGAAUCUUCCGCAAUGGGCGAAAGCCUGACGGAGCAACGCCGCGUGAGUGAUGAAGGUCUUCGGAUCGUAAAACUCUGUUAUUAGGGAAGAACAAAUGUGUAAGUAACUAUGCACGUCUUGACGGUACCUAAUCAGAAAGCCACGGCUAACUACGUG
rnacentral:rRNA from 1 species